UCCAAUUUGAAUUCAAACCUUCCACUUUCUCUGGACAACAACUAUUCAUUUACCUUCUCCAUAGUCCAUAUUACACUAAUGUCCAAAAACAUAUGCUCACUUUUAAGGAAAUUUCUCCAGAAAUUGGUCCUAAAGUCAGGUACUCAAUACCAUUUUCAGACUUAACCAAAAAUUCAGCAAAGCUGCCGAUUGUGACAAAGUGCCAAAUUUAGGCCUCCAUUUGAAAUGGUUCCCUCUGCUAUUCCUGAUCAACAACACUCAAACUGUGGAGUCCAAAGCUCAUACUUUAACAUGGUAUAGUUGUCCUGAUUUACUUAUUUGAGAAAUUUAUCAGAAUUCAAUUUCCAAAAUGUACUCUGAAGCUGUUUUUCUGAUUUCCUGUUUUCGUACGGUGAAUAGUAAACGUAGUUUUUCAUUUCCUUCUCUGAUUUCUUUUGAGUGUUUAGGAUCAAAUAUUAUUCCAAAUUGUUGACCCUUAAGUUCAAA
rnacentral:lncRNA from 1 species